rnacentral:lncRNA from 1 species
UGUUUAGGUAGUGAGUGCUUUCUUAACCAGACUGUAAUCCUUAUCUUUUGACUGCUAGUACUAAAAAGCAAAGUCUGGUGGCUUGGCUCAGCACCAAGAACAUUCACAACUGACAUGUCAGAUACCAGGUACCAGGCAGACCAGUUAGUUGGACUUCAACAGUUUUGGGUUUGCAUGGCUCCAAAAGAGAGAAAGACAUUUCAACGCGCUUUACACAGAAGUGAAUGAUCCCAGAUGUUUUCAACUGCCUUGGAAGGAGGUAAGAGUGAGCAGGGCCAAGGAGGCUCCCCAGGAAGACUGGGCUUUAUUGUAUUACACAGCACACACAGCCUGCAUCUUCAGUAGUGGAACUUGGGUACCAGUUUUAGGUCCCAGUGUGUUACCAAUACACGUGACAGUGCAUCUGUCAUGUGCCAGCAUAGUAGGAAGCAGCAUUUUUAAUUUUUUUUUUUUACUUCUUCAAAUACCAUCUCCAGUCUGCUGCAAAGCCCAGCAGAAAAAUCCAUGUCUGGAGGAAAGUGGCAGAUGGCAGGAAGAUGCACUGGAGCUAAGGCCUAACAGCACCUCUCAGGGAAGCACAUAACUAGAAUCUUCCUGUGAAUUAUGUGGAUAUCUGGGAUAUGGCUGGGACAAAGGGAAACAUCCCUGCUACAAGCAGAGUCCUACUUACCCUUGGAGCAGAUGCGAAUGGCACUGUGCAACACUCAGAGCUCAGCAAGGUGUGAUGAGAAUUGCUAACACAAGGUGUUUACAAGGUUUCCAGUAGAAGGGGAAAGCCUUAUUUUUAGGAGCCACUUUUGUUUUCAGAAGCAGGGUGGGGAGAAGAAAGAUCUUCAUAAAUAUUUCUGGAGACCUGCUCACCAAAUCCUUGAGGAAGUUCAAGAUCCAAGUCUGAAUUCGACUAUAAGAUAUUUCAAAUACUAAAAUUAAAGGACUGCAAAGCAGAGAAAUCUCAGAAAAUCUGCUCAAAAAAUGACCUUUAGAAGAAGAAUAAACCAAAAGUGUCAUGAGGGGGGAAGUAGGAG